UGAACGCUGGCGGCGUGCCUAAUACAUGCAAGUCGAGCGAACAGAUGAGGAGCUUGCUCCUCUGCCGUUAGCGGCGGACGGGUGAGUAACACGUGGAUAACCUACCUAUAAGACUGGGAUAACUUCGGGAAACCGGAGCUAAUACCGGAUAAUAUAUUGAACCGCAUGGUUCAAUAGUGAAAGACGGUUUUGCUGUCACUUAUAGAUGGAUCCGCGCCGCAUUAGCUAGUUGGUAAGGUAACGGCUUACCAAGGCAACGAUGCGUAGCCGACCUGAGAGGGUGAUCGGCCACACUGGAACUGAGACACGGUCCAGACUCCUACGGGAGGCAGCAGUAGGGAAUCUUCCGCAAUGGGCGAAAGCCUGACGGAGCAACGCCGCGUGAGUGAUGAAGGUCUUCGGAUCGUAAAACUCUGUUAUUAGGGAAGAACAAAUGUGUAAGUAACUAUGCACGUCUUGACGGUACCUAAUCAGAAAGCCACGGCUAACUACGUG
rnacentral:rRNA from 1 species